UACGUAGGGCGCAAGCGUUGUCCGGAAUUAUUGGGCGUAAAGAGCUCGUAGGCGGUUUGUUACGUCCGCUGUGAAAACCCAGGGCUUAACCCUGGGCUUGCAGUGGAUACGGGCAGACUAGAGGUAGGUAGGGGAGAAUGGAAUUCCCGGUGUAGCGGUGAAAUGCGCAGAUAUCAGGAGGAACACCGAUGGCGAAGGCAGGUCUCUGGGCAUUAACUGACGCUGAGGAGCGAAAGCAUGGGGAGCGAACAGG
rnacentral:rRNA from 1 species